CAAACGUUUUAUUUUCGACAAAACUAGUGAGGUGAUGCCAGUGACAUGGUACAAACACAUUUAAUAUAAGUAUAUGGAACUAAAAGGUUAAACGCAUCAAUGCAUUUCUAAAUAGUAAGGCUUUUCAGGAGAUCGUGACCCAAUUUGGUUACAAAAAAUCUGUAUUAAUAGUCAUUUUUCACAAAGGAACAAAUUAAUUUUUGGACCCGGGCGAGAAAAUUAUCGUGAGCGGAGCGAGUGUUUCUAGACACCAAAAUAUAGUUUCUAACGAAAUCCACUUAUUUAUAAUUGUUAUAAAAGUCUCACACAUAACAUAAUGCAUAAUAAAUAAAAAUAAAAAUGAGGGGGAAAUGGGAAAUCCCAUACAUAUUUUUUGUUAUAUAAUUAUGGCUUAUUCUCAUAGGAUUAAAUUUUUGCACAUUUUUGAGGAUUUAUUUCAUAUUUCAAGAUACGCUUUGUACAAUCUUAAACUAUCACUUUUGAAAAUGCCUCUGUUAAUCUCAAAUGUUUUAACACUCGUUGCAUUCUCAAUUUCUCACCCAGGCAGGUAAUCGUUGCUCCUUUGCUCCUACCUAAUUAAUAGUACAUUACGAUAAAAGUGCGAAAAAUAGAAACGAAUAGCGAUAACGACCGAAGGGCGAGCGAAUCGACACGAGUUGCGAAUUACCUAUUCACACAUGUAUCGGACAACGUUUUACAGUACAUAUGAAUAUGACCCUUUAAAUUUUCGACAUAGUUGCGUAAUGUGCUAAAGCUAAUUAUCGCACUAGUGCGGUACAGGUGCCCCAUAUGUACUGUAAAAAAAUUACAGCAUCAAUUUAUUAUUGUAAAUUUGAUAUACAUAAUUAUUAAGUAGGACCGCCGUUCGUUCGAUAUCCGAAUACAAUAAAUGUGUGGCAAUUUAUAGAGUUAAAGAAAUAACUGAUGAUAAGGCUCCUUCAAAAUUAUAUCCAAUUUUGACUUUAUCCCAAAGUUGACAAAUUUACAUGAAAUGAACACAUUUUACUGUUUAACAUUGUAUUAUUUCAGCAAGAAUGCUUGUAAACAAUGUUGGACGGCAUAAAAGGAGACAAUAUUUUGGGAUUUUACAUUUAAUUCCUUUUUAAUUUUAAUUAUUAUCGAAUUUGCUUACAUCAAAUUGCAAGAUUGUGCAUUUUAAUUUAGAAGGAAAAUUAGGAAAAGAGGGUCACUAUAACCAAAUAAUUAUGGUUCACAAUAAGAUUCUUCAAUGAUUAUGUCAUGUAGAUAUUUAAAGUCUGUCAAGCCAUUUCCAUAAGUAGAAAAAAUGCCAAAAAAAAAUGUAGGCGCGAAUAGUCCCAAAAAAAUAUUGAAUUACGCGCCUUUUCCUACUGACUAAGUUGUUUGACCGGCUAUAGUAAACAUUUUAGAGACCUUAAUUGUCCAGAUAUUGUCGUAGGUACAAGAAAUAACUAGCACUGAAUUAUAACUGGCAUAAAUUGUAAUUUAUAUAUUUUACAAAAUGUUAAUUCAUAGCGCCAUUAGAAAUAAGCAUUUAUGUUGUACUCACCAAAUUCUUCAUUCCUACAGUUAGCUUUUAAGUACAUACAUAUUUAUCGUUUUAAAUAACAAGUGAUGCCAUACAUACACGCUCUUUUUUAUAAUUAUGUAAAUACCCUUUUCGAAUUCUCAGUCCCUGUAGUUGUUAACAUAUUGUUUAUCCUUCUGGUUCUUUCCAUCUAUUAGCAUUUCAGUUUUCGGUACCUACCUAUAUUCAAUCUGGACUUACAAUAUUGACUAGAUAUAACUGGUUAAGCACACACUUUAACAUCUAAUAGUAAAGUGGUAAUAUUAUUUUUCUCUAGACUUAAGAUCAGUUGUUGUUUAACCAUUCAACCACCUUAAGUCAAAAAGAAUCUCUUUCUAAUCUGCUCCCAAUUUACGUAUUUGUAUCUAUUUCUAAAAUAUGAAAAAAUUAUGGUUAAUUAUUAAAUAUUACAAAACGUGGGCUUAUGAAUCAUGAACAAAUUAAAACAUGUAACAAUAAUAGUAUAUAUAUUAAUAAAAAAGCUACAUUUAGAGAAAUAGAAUAAUCCCACUGCAACUGUACUCUAGCCACACUUUCCAGCCAAUUAUGUACAUAAGUUCUAAUCCUUUUGAAUACAUAUCACGCCUUUUAUAAUAAGGACACUAGUAACAUUAUAAGAUAAGAUCUAGAACAGAGUCACUCAUUCAAUAAUUAUGUCAUUUUAAUAUAAAUAAAAUACAAAAAUUCAGUGAACAUCAAACAUUGGGUGCUUUAGUGAUAACUUAUUAAAAGUCCAUUACAAAUACUAGGCGCAAAUGCAAUUUAAUUAGUUUUUUUCAAAACACUUCCUACAGUUCGGAAUAGUAUAAACUAUGUAAUACAUGUUCAGUUUCUAUUAAUGGUCUAUUUGUCAUGACUCAUGAGCAUGAUGUAUAAGUACAAGAAAUAAUAGUUUUAUAAAUUUCAACUUUGUAUACCCAUUUUAAAACCAUUAUAUUGAACACAUUAAUGUUGAAAUGAUUAAGAUAUUUUUAUUCAGUUCUUGAAUAUGAAACCAAUAAUUGCUUAGAGCAUUAUAUAAUUAUAAACAAAUAAAUACAAAUUUUGAGAUCAUUUGUUACACAUAGUGUAUGUGAGAAAAACAUUCCUUGUAUUCUAUACCGGAAUAUCAAAAUAUUAAUUGCAAAUUAUGUGUCUUGGACAAAAUCCAAUGCGUUAAAAAGUUUAGUGCCAAUCAUUAAAAGUUUGUGUAAACACGAACAUUUGAAUGUUUUUGCAAUAAUUUUAUUGUGUUGUAUUACGACACACGUAAACAUAGGCAACUAUGGGCGUCUUACUAUAUUUUAGUACAGGGCUAUUUUCAAUAAAU